AUUGAACGCUAGCGGGAUGCCUUACACAUGCAAGUCGAACGGCAGCGCGGACUUCGGUCUGGCGGCGAGUGGCGAACGGGUGAGUAAUGUAUCGGAACGUGCCCAGUAGCGGGGGAUAUCUACUCGAAAGAGUAGCUAAUACCGCAUACGCCCUACGGGGGAACGGGGGGGAUCGCAAGACCUCUCACUAUUGGAGCGGCCGAUAUCGGAUUAGCUAGUUGGUGAGGUAAAGGCUCACCAAGGCGACGAUCCGUAGCUGGUUUGAGAGGACGACCAGCCACACUGGGACUGAGACACGGCCCAGACUCCUACGGGAGGCAGCAGUGGGGAAUUUUGGACAAUGGGGGCAACCCUGAUCCAGCCAUUCCGCGUGUGCGAUGAAGGCCUUCGGGUUGUAAAGCACUUUUGGCAGGAAAGAAAUCGCACGGAUUAAUACUCUGUGUGGAUGACGGUACCUGCAGAACAAGCACCGGCUAACUACGUGCCAGCAGCCGCCGUAA
rnacentral:rRNA from 1 species